rnacentral:rRNA from 1 species
CCUGGCGGCGAUAGCGCGGUGGUCCCACCUGACCCCAUGCCGAACUCAGAAGUGAAACGCCGUAGCGCCGAUGGUAGUGUGGGGUCUCCCCAUGUGAGAGUAGGGCAUUGCCAGGC